AGCAUUUGCAAGAAUGUUUUCAUUAAUCAAGAACGAAAGUUAGAGGAUCGAAGACGAUCAGAUACCGUCCUAGUUCUAACCAUAAACGAUGCCGACUAGGGAUCAGAGUGAAAGUUACUACAUUUCGUGUUGAGAUUACAUUUUGUGUUAGUUAUUACAUUUUG
rnacentral:ncRNA from 1 species